rnacentral:rRNA from 1 species
GACGAACGCUGGCGGCGUGCCUAAUACAUGCAAGUCGAGCGGACUUUCAAGAAGCUUGCUUUUUGAAAGUUAGCGGCGGACGGGUGAGUAACACGUGGGCAACCUGCCUGCAAGACGGGGAUAACUCCGGGAAACCGGGGCUAAUACCGGAUAAUAUCUUCCUUCGCAUGAAGGAAGGUUGAAAGGCGGCGCAAGCUGCCGCUUGCAGAUGGGCCCGCGGCGCAUUAGCUAGUUGGUGAGGGAACGGCUCACCAAGGCGACGAUGCGUAGCCGACCUGAGAGGGUGAUCGGCCACACUGGGACUGAGACACGGCCCAGACUCCUACGGGAGGCAGCAGUAGGGAAUCUUCCGCAAUAGACGAAAGUCUGACGGAGCAACGCCGCGUGAGCGAAGAAGGUCUUCGGAUCGUAAAGCUCUGUUGUCAGGGAAGAACAAGUACCGUUCGAACAGGGCGGUACCUUGACGGUACCUGACCAGAAAGCCACGGCUAACUACGUG